UGAAAUCCAAAAAAAUACAGAAAACUGCAAAAAAAAUCACAGGAGAUUUGGAAAAGCUAGAAAUCUAGAAAACUUCUUUGAUUUUCUAAAGUAGUUUUCUGAUUCACAUAGAUUUAACAUGGUUUGAGUUUAAUUUCCGGAAAAUUUUGGGUCAAGCUGUGUUAAAAUUACUGUUCUAUUGGACUUAUAAUCGAUUCUGUGGGUUCAAUUUCUUCAAUCCGGGGUUGUGUUGUAGCUGGUAUUGCUGCUUAUCUGCUGAUACUAUCUUGUUGUGCUGAUCCCCAUCGUUUCUCUUAUUUUUCUCUCCAGGUACACAUUUUCUGAAUUUAAAGCCAUGUAUGAAGUUUUGACUUGCAGAAUGAAAUGAAAUAGCUCCAAUAUGUCUUGGCUCCUUAGAUCAGUGCUACUGUUUCCGUGUCCUAUGAUUUGUUAUUUACUUAGUACAGUGACGGUUUAUUAUGAUGGCUGUAACUAAUAGGUUGCUAACAUGAAAAUUAGCUGCAACAAUUAUUGUUUGACUAGUUGCAUAGUAGUUUAAUAGGAAUGGGAAAGACACUCAGCUGAAUUAUGUUGGUUAAACAAUCAUACAGUUUUUUUUGUGCUUUUGGGUAUGAGUUUCGCUGCAUCUGCUCUUUUAUUGUUUAUAUUUUUGCAAAUUAUGGUUUAAUCUCAAGUUGAUUGUGAUGAUUUAAGCAUGUACGCUAUUGAAAAAUGUUUAGGGGAUGAUAAUUGGUAGCUGCAGUUUGUCAAAUUCAGUUUACUGGUGUUUGUACUUGGUCAUUUCACGCAUUAGGGUCUGUCCAUAAAUGUUACAGCUUAACAGAGCCAUCUUUGGGAUUAUGGCUUUAUAGAGGUCAGUUAGUCCCAAGUGUUCGUUGCUCGAAUUGUU
rnacentral:lncRNA from 1 species